UAAACAAAGGGAAGCGAAGUGGUGACGCGGAGCGAACCCCAAAAAUAAACGUCCCAGUUCGGAUUGCAGUCUGCAACUCGACUGCAUGAAGCUGGAAUCGCUAGUAAUCGCGGAUCAGAAUGCCGCGGUGAAUACGUUCCCGGGUCUUGUACACACCGCCCGUCACACCAUGGGAGUCGGAAAUGCCCGAAGCCGGUGACCUAACCUUUCAGGAAGGAGCCGUCGAAGGCAGGUCUGAUAACUGGGGUGAAGUCGUAACAAGGUACC
rnacentral:rRNA from 1 species